UGGAGGAGGGGAGCCCAGGGUCCUGUUCUCGUGUUUCUUUGUGUUAUUUCUGUUUGUGUCCUGCGGAGAAAAUCCCUAACCAAAGGGAAGGUGUUGGUAAUUGUGACUCUUUUGAAAUUGGAAACUUUUGUUCAUAAAGAUGCCCCUGAGAUAAAUUAGGAGUUUGGGAUCUGCAGAUACACGCUUCUAUUCAUAAAACAGAUAAACAACAAGAUCCUACCGUUCAGCACAGGGAACUAUAUUCAAUAUCUUGCAGUGACCUAUAAUGACAAAGGAUAUGAAGAAGAAUAUAUAUGUAACUGAAUCACUAUGCUGUACACCAGAAACUCACACAACACUGUAAAUCAACUCUACUUCAAUAACAAACAAUACAGUUUUAAAAAGAUGCCCCUGAGAGCAUGAGGAGAAGUGGAGAGUGAAGUGGAGAAGCCAUCUUCGAAGCAGAGAACCUCAGAGGACAGGUGUAAGAUGCAAAAGGACUCCUACAAACGACUAAGAAAUGGACAUCCCGGUGGAAAAGAAAUGGUCCAGGGGUGGAAGACCCGUUCACAUUCCAACCCGGCGACUGCAGUCUGCAGCGCGGGCCCGGGGGGAGAAUGGCCCACCUGUCCCGGACGGCACAGGAGCCUUGAAGCAUCAUGGUCACCAAGACAUGCCACCAUUUGGGCGAGAAGGACCUGCCAGCCCAGCGCUGCUGUUUUGCAGGCGAUCUGUCUUGUUCCCUCCGGCUGCUUCACGGGUCCCCUUGCUCCUUUUCUCCUUGUCUGGGGUGCCCUGCAUGUCCCUGGGAUGCGUCCCAGCGGGGAUUUGUCUGUGUUUG